rnacentral:rRNA from 1 species
UUGCUUCCGCUGACGACCGGCGCACGGGUGCGUAACGCGUAUGCAACCUACCUCAUACUGGAGAAUAGCCCUUGGAAACGAGGAUUAAUGCUCCAUAGUAUCAUAGAUUCGCAUGUUUCUGUGAUUAAAGAAUUUCGGUAUGAGAUGGGCAUGCGUCCCAUUAGCUUGUUGGUGAGGUAACGGCUCACCAAGGCAACGAUGGGUAGGGGGCCUGAGAGGGUGACCCCCCACACUGGUACUGAGACACGGACCAGACUCCUACGGGAGGCAGCAGUGAGGAAUAUUGGGCAAUGGAGGCAACUCUGACCCAGCCAUGCCGCGUGAAGGAUGACUGCCCUAUGGGUUGUAAACUUCUUUUAUAUGGGAAGAAACUUAUCUACGUGUAGAUAACUGACGGUACCAUACGAAUAAGGAUCGGCUAACUCCGUGCCAGCAGCCGCGGUAAUACGGAGGAUCCAAGCGUUAUCCGGAUUCAUUGGGUUUAAAGGGUCCGUAGGCGGGUCUUUAAGUCAGUGGUGAAAGCCGACAGCUCAACUGUCGAACUGCCAUUGA